GAGGGUCCCAUGAGACCACCGCCUCCACCAGAUAUCUUUGCAGGUGCACCACUGAAAAACAUACGAAAAACAUGUGAAAGACCUAUUGUUUGACAAGAAAACAACAUGAUAUGCUUAAGUUACAUGCAUGUGCGGGUCCCGCACUAUUCACGGAUGACCGGCCCUAUUUGCCUUUUAUUGCCACUUACUAGCAGGAGGCGAUUUCCUUGAUGGUGUAGUAUUUUGGAAAUCUGCUAGCAUGGCUUGGAAGGUUUAUAAUUCUAAUAUAUUAUUGUGAAAUUGCAGUGCAUUCGGGCCUGUAGGCGGGCCGUAUUCUUGCAGUUCUAUGACGCGGCCUUUGGUCAAAAUAGGGCCGGUCAUCCGUGAACAGCUCCCGGAGUUAAUGAAGGGAAAGCAUUUCGUAAGCCACUUACAAAGCUCCCAGUGAAGAUGAAAUACCAGUAGUCAAAAUGGACGAAAUCGGUGAAAGAGCCGUUGAAGGCUCUGAAGGUGUGUUUAGAUAUGAUAUUCUACGCCUCAACCGACUAUGGGAGGACUUUUUCCUCCUGUAAUAUGUUGUAUUAUAAGAAGUUGUUAAUUCUAAAUCUGCUACACAUACAGGGUAUAGCUCGGGAAUCGUCGACAGGUUGCUGAUGAGCAAUGACUGAGGCUGGUAUUUGGGCAUUGUAUAUCAGCAAAAAACAGCAUGACAUCACAGCCACCAUGCGUUCCAAACGGAAAGUUUAUAAAUGCGGACAUAAACCCUUGGUACGCCAAAUGUCGUACCAUGCUUCUGCCAUGAGCGUUUUGUGACGGUUCCUCGGUUCCCUUGGUCUUUCAUGUUGGUGGGAGAUGUUAAGUUGUAAACUGAAAGUUUUUUGAGUAAAACGAAAGAAAACCAAGGUUUCUGUGCAUUUGCCGAG
rnacentral:lncRNA from 1 species